GGGAAUUUAAAGCUAGCAGGCUUGGAGUUUGCAGUGUGUUGGUGCUAUCAUCAUUUGCCGAAGUUUUAAUAUAGUAUAUUGUCAUUUUUGUUGCGGAAAACGGAGAGCCAUGCGGAAGCACAAUCAUCCAAUAUUUUAUGUGGUUCGGCUUAGCCUACCUCCACGGGGUGAAGGGAUAAUUAGCUAUUCGAAGAAUCUGAUGACUUGCAUAGG
rnacentral:misc_RNA from 1 species